rnacentral:rRNA from 1 species
GAGUUUGAUCCUGGCUCAGGACGAACGCUGGCGGCGUGUUUUAGGUAUGCAAGUCGAGCGAAUCACUUCGGUGAUUAGCGGCGGACGGCUGAGUAACACGUAGAUACGUCCCCCAAAGAGGAGGAUAGCCCUGCGAAAGCGGGGGUAAUACUCCAUAGACCUGCUCAUCUCGCAAGAGAGUGAGCUGGUAAAGAGCGUAACUUCUCGCUUUGGGAGCGGUCUGCGGCCUAUCAGCUUGUUGGUGAGAUAAUAGCUCACCAAGGCUAUGACGGGUAACUGGUCUGAGAGGAUGAUCAGUCAGAAGGGAACUGAGAUACGGUCCCUACACCUACGGGUGGCAGCAAUCAAGAAUCAUUCGCAAUGGACGAAAGUCUGACGAUGCGACGCCGCGUGUAGGAUGAAGGCCCACGGGUCGUAAACUACUUAAUCCCAAGCUAUCGCGCGGGAGGAUACAGCCGCUGCUAACUACGUGCCAGAAGCCUCGGUAAUACGUAGGCGGCAAGCGUUGUCCGGAUUAACUGGGCGUAAAGCGAGCGUAGGCGGUACUAUAAGUCGCUUCUUAAAGCGUUCCGCUCAACGGGAUUGUUCGGAGCGAUACUAUAGUGCUAGAGUUGUCGAGGGGUAGCUAGAACUCUCGGUGUAGGGGUGAAAUCCGAUGAUAUCGAGAGGAAUACCAAGGGAGAAGUCAGGCUACUGGAGACAUACUGACGCUGAGGUUCGACAGCGUGGGGAGCGAAAGGGAUUAGAGACCCCUGUAGUCCACGCCGUAAACGAUGAAUGCUAGCUUUUCCUGCAUAAGCGGGAGAGGCGUAAGCUAACGCGUUAAGCAUUCCGCCUGGGGAGUACGGUCGCAAGACUAAAACUCAAAGGAAUUGACGGGGAGGAGCACAACCAGUGGAGCGUGUGGUUUAAUUCGAGACAGAGCGAAAAACCUUACCAGGGUUUGACAUGUUACCGUAUGUUAUUUAAGAAAUUAGAUGGCCUUCAGGUUUCACAGCUGCUGCAUGGCUGUCGUCAGUUCGUUCCGUGAGGAGUUCCCUUAAGUGGGGUAACGAACGCAACCCCCGCUGUCUGUUAUAUAUGUCAGACGGGACUGCCGUAGCAUUUGUUACGGAGGAAGGAGGGGCAGACGUCAAGUCAGCAUGGCGCUUAUAUCCUGGGCGACACACACCCUACAAUGGGAUUGACAAUGAGAAGCCAAGCCGUAAGGUGGAGCAAAUCUCAUCAAACGAUCUCUCAGUUGGGAUUGGGGCCUGAAACUCGACCCCAUGAACGAGGAAUUGGUAGUAAUCGCGGAUCAGAAGGCCGCGGUGAAUACGUUCUCUCCUCUG